GGCGCCAGCCCCUAGCCCCGAGCUGCCGCGAGGAGGCUGGAGGAGGAGCCGCCCCUCUCUGCAGUUCGGACCCGGGCUCCCGUCUUCCCUACCCGUCCAUGCUCCCGGAUUGGGUGCCCCAGCCGCUCCGGGUCGCUGGGCGGCUUCUUAAUACCCAGCUUCUGGGCAAUGAGCCCAGCUGGGCCGAUCCCGCUGCCUCGACGGCCAUCGGGUCCUGCACCUCCCUCUCUGUGUCAGCCGAGGAUGGGUCGAGCCCCAAACUGCGUCCGACUCCUGGAGCAGAGAGCCCCUUCCUCGACCACCACAAAGAUGACUGACUGAUUCUUUGGGUUUCCUGGCAGCCCCUCCAUCAAUGAAUCUGGAAUCGGGGGCCAGGAGAGAGGACUCAUUAGUUCAGAGCACUCUGGUUGCUCUCGCAGAGGACUGGGGUUCACUUCUCAGCAUCUACAUGACCGCUCACAAUCACCUUUAAGUCCAGCUCCACAGGACCCGAUGCCUCUUCUGGCCUUCAUGGGAAAAUGGACCCUCGUGGAGCAGACAUACAUAUAGGCAAAAUAUCCUUACAUAUAAUAAAACA